rnacentral:lncRNA from 1 species
UACAAUCGCAUAGUACCAAACAUCAACACUCCAAACACAAUAAAACAAGGUUCAAAUAGAUUCAUCACGACCAAAUCCAAAACGACUACCUCCACUAGAACCCCCAAUCUUGGUGGCAGAAUCGGACGGGGAGGAUCCGGGAACGGGCGGGGUGGUAGCAGGAUCCGACCGGGAGGAGCUGGUUCAGUUCCAGGAACGGGCAGGGUGGUAGCGGC